rnacentral:lncRNA from 1 species
UCAAAUCAGGAUCACAAGCAAGAUUAUAAUUUCCUUAGAUACCAUUACUAUCAUUGCCAUGCUAGUUGUCUCGUUUCUUAUGUUGUAUCUCGCUGCCUACCACUUAAAUGUCAGCCUCCCAACAUUGCCAUGAAAAUCCUCUACUCCCUUCACAUCCCAGCAAACCCUUGUUUGGCUAGGUUUACGCUUGCUCACCCUUCCUAUAGCAUUGCAAGUUGGAGUUGC